UACGGAGGGAGCUAGCGUUGUUCGGAAUUACUGGGCGUAAAGCGCACGUAGGCGGCUUUGUAAGUUAGAGGUGAAAGCCUGGAGCUUAACUCCAGAAUUGCCUUUAAGACUGCAUCGCUUGAAUCCGGGAGAGGUGAGUGGAAUUCCGAGUGUAGAGGUGAAAUUCGUAGAUAUUCGGAAGAACACCAGUGGCGAAGGCGGCUCACUGGACCGGUAUUGACGCUGAGGUGCGAAAGCGUGGGGAGCAAACAGG
rnacentral:rRNA from 2 species